AUGGAAGGAAAACAGAGGGACUACUCGCUCGCUCGCUCUCUUUCUGCCGCCAUCUUGGUUCCGCGUUCCCCGCACAAACUGCCGGGUGAAGCCCCAGAAACCGUCCCUGCUACAGAGCAGGGGUUGCCACAGCGGCAGGCUGAGACAGGGUCUGGAACAGAAUCUGAUAGUGAUGAAUCAGUCCCAGAGCUUGAGGAACAGGAUUCUACACAGGCAACCACACAACAAGCUCAGCUGGCGGCAGCGCCUGAAAUCGAUGAAGAACCACUCAGUAAAGCAAAACAGCCGGAGUGAAAAGAAGGCACGGAAGGCUGUGUCCAAACUGGGUCAUCGACAGGUUACAGGGGCUACUAGAGUCACUAUCCAGAAAUCUAAGAAUAUCCUUUUUGUCAUCACAAAACCAGAUGUGUACAAGAGCCCAGCUUUAGAUAACUACAUUGUUUUGGGGGAAGCCAGGAUUGAGGAUUUAUCUCAGCAAGCACAGUUAGCAGCUGCUGAGAAAUUCAAAGUUAAAGGUGAAGCUGUCUCAAACAUCCAAGAAAACACACAGACUCCAACUGUACAAGAGGAGAGUGAAAAGGAGGAGGUUGAUGAAACAGGUGUGGAAGUUAAGGACAUAGAAUUCGUCAUGUCACAAGCACAUGUGUCCAGAGCAAAGGUAGUCCGAGUCCUGAAGAACAACAGUAAUGAUAUUGUAAAUGCUGUUAUGGAAUUAACAAUGUAACCAUCUGAAAAGAGGACCUUUUUUUGGUGUUUCAAAAGAGUAACUGCCGCUGGGUUUGAAAUUUGUACUGUUUCUAUCAUUAAUAAAAGUAUGGCUUCUUGUUGGAUGAAAAUAAUACUAAAAAUAAUCCAUAUGCUGAGCCAUGAAGCAAGUCUCAAUAAAAGUUAAAGAAUAUGAGUCAAAGAAAGUGUGUCCUCUAACCACAAUGGAAUUAAACUGACAAUCAGCAGCACAAAGAUAGCUGGAAAAUCCUUGAGUAUUUGGAAACUAAACAUGAUAUUGAACAAUUCAUGAGUCAAAUAAAAAUGAAAAGAGAAUGCAGAAAGUAUUUUGAACUGAAAGAAAAUAGAAACAAAACAUGUUAAAAUUAGUGUGAUGGAGCUAAAGCAGUUCUUAGAGGGAAACUUACAGCACCUAAUGUCUGUACUAGGAAAUAUCUCAAAUCACGUAGCUCCUACAUUGAGAAACUUCAGAAAAGAGAGAGAGGAAAUUAUGCCAAAAGUAAGGAGAAGAUUAGAGUAGAAAUCAAUGAAAGAGAAAACAGAAAAAACAAUGUGGAAAAUCAGUGAAACAAAAACCUGAUUCCUUGAGAAGGUCAACAAAAUUAACAAACCUCCAUAUGGACUAAUCAGGACAAAAAGACACAAAUUACCAGUAUCAAGAAUGAGAGAUCACUACAGAUUCAACAGAUGUUGAAAGGAUAAUAAGAAAAUACCGUGAACAACUUUUAUGUCAGUAUAUUUGACAAUUUAGAGGAAAUGGACAAAUUCCUCUAAGAACACAGACUACCAAAGAUCACUCAGUAAGAAAUAGAUAACCAUAAAAGUCAUAUAUCUACUAAAGAAAUUAAAUUAGGACUUUAAAACUCUCCCACAAAGAAAAUUCCAGGCCCAAAUGGCCUCACUAGAGAAUUAUCAAAUGCUUGCUUGUGCAGCAAUUCUUUACCAACUCAGAAAACAGAAGUGGAGGGACCGUCUCCCAGUUCUCUCUGUAUCAAAAUUAGGAACAUUACCAAAAAUUUGAAAAAAAAAAAAAAGCACGGAUAGUAUCCCUCAUGAACAUAGUACAAAAACUUAACAGUAUUUUUAGCUAAUUGAAUUCAAUAAUAUAGUAAAACAAUAACGCAUCUUGAGUAAGUGGGAUUUAUCUAAGAAAGGAAAAGUUGGUUUAACAUUCUAAAAAUCAGUGUGAUUCGUCAUAUUAGCAGAAUAAAAAAAAAUCAUAUGAGCGUAUCAAUUAGUGGAGAAAAAAACACUUGACAAAAUCCAGCAUUCCAUUCCUGACAAAAACUCUGAACUGGGAAGAGAAGGCAGCCUCUCCCACCUAGCUACCUGUUUAUCUGCCCAAGCCCUGUCAGCAAGGGCAGUGCCACCCCAUAGAACUGAGCACACCUGACCGACAGCUCUUGGUCUCUAGCAUUUUCCAUGAGAAGGAACCAGAGCUCUUUAGAGAAGCAACUGAUUCUAAGGCUGGGGUUGGGAAUGUACAUAUUGUUGUUCGGUUGCUAAGUCGUGUCCGACUCUUUGUGACCCCGUGGACUGCAGCACGCACACCAGGCUUCCCUGCCCUUCACCAUCUCCGGGAGUUUGCUCACACUGAUGUCCACUGGGGGGAGGAAGUGCUGGAAGGGAUGAGGGUUGACACAGGGCUGUGUUACAGAACAUAGCUCCCAGGGCCAAAGCUGGAGCACUGAACAGCAGAAUAAAGCAUACUGGAUUAUAA